rnacentral:misc_RNA from 1 species
AAAGUCGUAACAAGGUCUCCGUUGGUGAACCAGCGGAGGGAUCAUUAUAGAGUUUUACAACUCCCAAACCCAAUGUGAACAUUAUCGUAUGUUGCUUCGGCGGGCUCGCCCGCCGGGGGACCCAAACUCUUGGUUUUCAUACUUGGCUUCUGAGUGGCGUAAUGCAAAACAAAUAAAUCAAAACUUUCAACAACGGAUCUCUUGGUUCUG